rnacentral:rRNA from 1 species
GACGAACGCUGGCGGCGUGCUUAACACAUGCAAGUCGAACGGUGAAGCUCCAGCUUGCUGGAGUGGAUCAGUGGCGAACGGGUGAGUAACACGUGAGCAACCUGCCCCUGACUCUGGAAUAAGCGCUGGAAACGGCGUCUAACACUGGAUACGAGAAGGGUCCGCAUGGGCACUUUCUGGAAAGUUUUUCGGUUGGGGAUGGGCUCGCGGCCUAUCAGCUUGUUGGUGAGGUAAUGGCUCACCAAGGCGACGACGGGUAGCCGGCCUGAGAGGGCGACCGGCCACACUGGGACUGAGACACGGCCCAGACUCCUACGGGAGGCAGCAGUGGGGAAUAUUGCACAAUGGGCGAAAGCCUGAUGCAGCGACGCCGCGUGAGGGAUGACGGCCUUCGGGCUGUAAACCUCUUUCAGCAGGGAAGAAGCGAAAGUGACGGUACCUGCAGAAGAAGCACCGGCUAACUACGUG